rnacentral:rRNA from 1 species
UACGAAGGGAGCGAGCGUUGUUCGGAAUCACUGGGCUUAAAGCGUGCGUAGGUGGAUUGGUAAAUAAGGAGUGAAAUCCCAGGGCUUAACCCUGGAACUGCUCUUUAGACUGCCUGUCUGGAAUUCGGAAGAGGUUGGUGGAACUCCCAGUGUAGAGGUGAAAUUCGCAGAUAUUGGGAAGAACACCGGUGGCGAAGGCGACCAACUGGUCCGACAUUGACACUGAGGCACGAAAGCGUGGGUAGCAAACAGG